rnacentral:rRNA from 1 species
UACGUAGGGGGCAAGCGUUGUCCGGAUUUAUUGGGCGUAAAGAGCGUGUAGGCGGCCAGAUAGGUCCGUUGUGAAAACUGGAGGCUUAACCUCCAGCUGUCGAUGGAGACCAUCUGGCUAGAGUCCGGAAGAGGAGAGUGGAAUUCCUGGUGUAGCGGUGAAAUGCGCAGAUAUCAGGAAGAACACCCGUGGCGAAGGCGGCUCUCUGGGACGGUACUGACGCUGAGACGCGAAAGCGUGGGGAGCGAACAGG